UUUCCUGUUUUUCGUCUCUCCAAAGGGAGUCACCACGAUGCACAAUGGGUUUCUUCUCUUCUGUUUUAAAUCUGCUGCUUAUUCGAUGUGCUGUUCGAAAUUUUCUCUAUGUUCCAGGUUGAAGAACUCUCACCUGGAAGUAAACGGUGAUAUUUUCGUCUCUGUCAUCUCACACCUCAAUGAAAUCCCUGGCUCGAAGAAAAAGGAGAGGAGAUGCAUGGAUUCGCUAGUUAUGUGAUUGUACCCAGAGGAACUCCCACCUACAAAAGAGGACUUGAACGUGCUAGAAUGAAGAAAAAAGAAGAAGAGCUGCUAUGUAUCAGUUUAUUUUAUGUGCUGUUAAGAAAACUCUCUACUUUCAAGGUCGAAGUUAUGAACUCUCACCUGGAAGCAAACGGUGAUAUUUUCGUCUCUGUCAUCUCACACCUCAAUGAAAUCCCUGGCUCGAAGAAAGAGGAGAGGAGAUGCAUGGAUUCGUUGUUUAUUUGAUGUGAUGUUAAGAAAUUUCUCUAUUUUGCAGGUCGAAGUACUUUAGUGUCGGUUUGGCCCAUCCCCUACACACGGUUUGGCCCAUCCCCUGUAUAAAGCGAGGGUUUGAAAAAAUGUGGUCGGCUGUUUGUGUACUUCUACAGUGAAAUCAACAGCUUUAUGUAGGCCCAUCUACUAACAUUCUGGCUUACAAAUGAUAGAUUUGGAAAACGGUAUCGGUUUUCUCUUCUCUCAGCAAAGACUGCUUAAUCUUCUCUCUCUUUAAAGUGGUAUUUCUCUCUUUUUUAGACGGCUAUUUCUGUUUUAAAUCUAUUGUUUAUUAGAUGUUCUGUUCAAAUCUUCUCUAUUUCCCAGGUUUAAAGUUACGGUGGUUAUUUGAUUUAUUUAAUUAUCCUUUUGAUUUUUUUUUUAAUUUGGUUUUCUGGUUUGGUAGAUCUGUAACAGAUCGGUUCUCUCUAUUUUCCCGUCGCUGUGUGUUUGUCUGUCUGUUGUUUUAUACAUGACAGGAACUCCCACCUACAAAAGAGGACUUGAACGUGCUAGAAUGAAGAAAAAAGAAGAAGAGCUGCUAUGUAUCAGUUUAUUUUAUGUGCUGUUAAGAAAACUCUCUACUUUCAAGGUCGAAGUUAUGUGUCAAAGGUCUAGUCCCUGUGAUACCAGUCAUUGAACAGUUCUGUGUUUGUUCUAGAGAGGUAUUGGAAAUUCAACUUUGGCUCGUUUCUCCUAAAAAAAUACUGCCCUUUUGGGUGUCUGUUCAGAUAAUUUGUUAGAUACAUGUGGAUUGUGAUCUCCAAUCUCCUUAAUGUCUUUCAGCUUUUGAAUUGGCACAUGCAUAAAUUUCAUAAAUUUGAUGAAGAUAAAAGUUUUGACUAAUGGAGUCUCUUUGUUCUCUUGAAUUUAUUGGGAUGCUGGAGAAGACAAUUGAUGAUGGCUAAAGAUACUAGGGUGGAAACUCUGUGCUAUUGCGUGUCCUUGUGCCAGGAAAUCACAUUUCCCUAUCUAUUGCCAGAUCUAAAGAUGCAAGAAUUUAUUUGAAAAAAAAAAGGUAGCAGGUUAAAGUGAGAUUCUCAUCACAAAUUAUGAUCUCUCCUUUAUCAGGGGAAUGGACAGACAUGGUUGGUUUUUCUCUGCUAUUGGAGCACUGGCUGCCAUUAUCCAAUUGAAAUCUGAAACUCUCUCUCCAUCUAGCACGCAUGAUGCUAUCAUAACAAUGUCUGUUGUUGCUGUGCUCGUCCAUAUUGUAAGUAGUGCAUGGGAAGUUAAACUUGCAGCUGGUCACUUCCACUCAAUUGCUGCCGGUGCAAGUCUUCUGGCCAGAGCUCUCGCCUUUGCUCUGCUACUCAUAAUCCCUGUCCCAAGAGUUUGGUGGUUAUUUCUUUCCGCGUGGGUGGUGUUAUUUAUAUGGGUUGCAUAUACUUUACACGGGGAAUUGUUACAAUUCCGUGAAUCGCUUUGCAAUGCAGUUCGCCAAGGCCAAGCAGUUUGCCAGGCCCAGGAGCCAAAUGCUGAGUCAAGUGAGUUGCCAGUGUAACCUUACAUGUCAAAGACUGGUUUGGGACCCUAUCAAAAUAUUAUGUUGCAAAUGCUAUUAUCCAUGAACGGCUAGUGUAAGACUGCUGUCUAUAUAUAUAUAUAUAGUUGCUCGGUGAAUUGAAAUUA